rnacentral:rRNA from 1 species
GACGAACGCUGGCGGCGUGCUUAACACAUGCAAGUCGAACGGAAAGGCCCUUCGGGUUCCUCGAGUGGCGAACGGGUGAGUAACACGUGGGUGAUCUGCCCUGCACUUUGGGAUAAGCCUGGGAAACUGGGUCUAAUACCGAAUAUGAUCAUCGGCUUCAUUGUCUGUGGUGGAAAGCUUUUGCGGUGUGGGAUGGGCCCGCGGCCUAUCAGCUUGUUGGUGGGGUAAUGGCCUACCAAGGCGACGACGGGUAGCCGGCCUGAGAGGGUGACCGGCCACACUGGGACUGAGAUACGGCCCAGAAUCCAACGGGAGGCAGCAGUGGGGAAUAUUGCAAAAGGGGCGGAAGCCUGAUGAAGCGACGCCGCGUGAGGGAUGACGGCCUUCGGGUUGUAAACCUCUUUCAGCACAGACGAAGCGCAAGUGACGGUAUGUGCAGAAGAAGGACCGGCCAACUACGUG